rnacentral:lncRNA from 1 species
UUAUAUAGUUUGCUUCAACCCAAUUUUUCUAGAAUGCAUAUCAGAGUUUUAAUAGAACUAAUUGUCAGGUAUAGUACGUUGAGCUUUACCUCAUAUACGUACAUACAUAAGAUGUUAUUUAAAGCAAUGAAAUGAAUUUUGCAAUGAAAAAUUGGAAUAAAAGUAGCACGCAUCAUGUAUGUUAGAUGACACCUACAGGAAAUAAUAGAAAUUUGAUUUUUCUUUUUUCUCUUUUAAAUUUAGAAAAAAAAAAUAGAAAAAAUAUUUGAAUUAAUAGAUAUUAUUU